ACUCUGCCAUCCACAUUGUACUUAUUCAGCGAGGAAAAUUCUCACACCAGUCAAAAAAACCUCGCGCCCCUGCUCACCUCUUGCCUUGUUCCGCCGCCCGGAGCCCCCCACCGGCACAUCGCAUCGCAUGGCGGCGGCGGCAGUGGCCUCGAACGGGGCGUGUUCCCGGGCGCCUUGCAUCCAUCUACAGCGAGGUACAGACGAGCCGGGUCACGCACACGCUGCCCCUCCCCUCUAUCCUUGGUCCUCUGCUCCCACUUCACUCUCGCCAACGAGCCAGCCAGCACUGCCCGCUGGAAGCACCGAUGAGAUAGCCAAGCUGUUCUCCAGCCUAUACGGCCAGCCGUCCGUGCCGUGCUACCGUCGGCUGAGCUAGUCACGACGAAGCCGCUCAAGAUGGGCGUUGUGCUUCCUGGUGGCCAGGUUCCAUGGGGACAAUUAAUCGGCGUCUUUGGUAAGUGCGAGUGAUCUCCAGUUGUACGUUCGUUUAGCACUAGCUGAGACCGACAGAAGUUGAAAAUCGGUGUUUAUAAUUGAAUUAGAGAGCUGUGACUCUCUUUUUCUGAUGAGAAAUCUGAGGAUAAAUCUUGUUAGAUUUUGUUGUUUUGCGGUGUUUCCUGAAUAAUUCCUAUCGUUGCUUGUCAUGGUUGGUGUUGUCGAUCAGAUUACCUGCAGGAGCGUGCCAAAGGCAGCACACCGUGUAUGGAUUAAGGGAGGCCCGACUCGCGUCAUGAAGGGCAACUGCAUCGAGCUGACUGCUGAUUUUGUGUACCCCUACAGAAACCAGAUGCAAGUUUCAAUGUGCUAUGGUUCUUCUAAGUCAUGUAAUGGCAUCUACCACUUGACAAUAUGUGCUGUGACUAAUGAAGAUGCACAAGACCACAUGCAUUCGUACUACUUUUAGAGAUUUCUGGGGACUUACAAGUGAGCAGCAUUUUGCCUAUUUUGGUCCUGAUUGGCAUCUUCCUAAUGACACUAUUUUUUACAAGGGUUAGCUUCUAUUGGUUCCUCUGUUCGCUUUUUUUCUUCCGAUGAGAGGUUCUGCAUGUUCCCUCAGUGAAGCCUUAUGUUCUCCCCAAAGAAGCAUUAUGUCCCAUAAUAAAUUACCUACGUUUGAGUGCAAGUAAUAUACAACAAUUUGUAUUUUUUUCCUCCAACGAGAAUAUGUGAUUGGUGUUCAGCUAUUUUUUAUAUGCCGACAAUGUUUUUUCUACAUAUCAAUUAACUGUUUGUUUACAUAAAGAAAGAAGUUUGUGAUUA